AGUGGGGGGGAGGAGCCGCGGCGGUGGGAGAAGGUGGGGGGCGGGGGCGGAGCUAUGAGGGGCGGCCUGAACAGUCACUGCGUCUGGAAAGCUGUAGCCGCAGCCACGGCCACCACAGGAGAGACAGCUCACCUAGACAGACACGCUCCCCUCACAAAGACACGAUCUUCUAGCCACAGAAAAAGAACCCCCCCCCCAACAGAGGUUCAAAGACGUUUUCACGGAGACGUCCUAUGAAGAAACCCCCUCUUCCCAUUCAGUGGCAUCACCCCCCCUAAAGAGAAAGACACCCCCCCUUCAAAGUCACAGACUCCCUCACAGGAACACCCACAUCCACCCCACACCCAGGGGAUUACUGGGAGUUGGGCGGAGCUGGACAGGAUUUAUAGGUCAGAUUAGGAUCCAGCUAGGGGAGAUGAAGGAAAGAGUAAGCCUCCAAAAUAGAGAAGGAGCCCGUCCUAGGACUCAGACCAUCCACCCCAUUGCCUGUGGCUUUUCUGUUUUCUCCUGGAGCAUAUUGGAGGGUCUUUUCUCUGUUCUCUGUUUUCACAUACUUUCUACAGUCCAACCACCUUUGGGAAGACUUUGGUUCCAAGUGAAAAGGGCAAAGGCCCAAAUCCUCCUUCUCUGGGUUGGACAGAACAGCCUCACCCUUCUCCUUCUCUUCCCUCUUCCUUCCUCAUUGCAUUUCCCUUACUUCUAUAAAAGACCCCAGUUUUUUAUUCUCAGCUAAUGGACUCUCAGGACCAGAGCCAAGACAAGAUGAAAUAGUGAAAAGACUGGAAUCUCAGGAUGCCAAAGAGUGGACCAAGGAAGGAGUUGAGUUUGUCUCAGGAAUUCUAUCUUCAAUCUGCCCAACAGAAGGCCAGGUGCCUAGGGGAAGCUACACUCCUGACCCCAGAAGCUGGAACUGUCAGAGACUGGGGUCACCUUGUGCGCAAACGCCACCUGCCGGCCAGACCUUGGGGGUCUAUAAGGCAUUGGGGAAAGAAGUAUCUGUCUCCGUCUCUUCCUUACGUCUGGGUCAGUCUCGAUGUUUUUAUCUCUUUCUCUGAUCUUUCAGUACCAGCAGCUAGGUGCCUCACUAUCUUUCUGUGUUUCUCUGUCUGAGUGGACUCCCACUGUAUCUACUGAUUCCAUUUUUGUUUCACGCUUCCUUCCCUAUUUCUCUGUGUAUUUACCUUUCUUGCCCGGUAUAGUUGUUUCUGACCGUCUAGUUCUCUCCUUGUCGCUAUCCAAGGUGCUGAUUUCAUCCAGUUCCACUAGCUUCAGACCUAGGAAAUAAGAUCGGGCUGGGGUGGAGCUGGUGUGAGGCAACAAUGACUGUCGACAGAACCUGAAGCAUUCUAGGCACCUGGGUCCUCCUCCUGAUUUAGUGAAGGGUACUGAGGAUGUUUCUCAGCACCCUAUUAGACCAGUGCUCUAAGAUUCUUCUGCUACUUCAUCCCUCCCUCAUCUAAGAGUUCUCAAAUGCUCUCAGCUCUUGGCUCCAGCUCCUCCCUCACCUCCCUGGGGAUAAUAGAAUAGUCAAGAGAAUUGGAAGGGGGAAAGUGCAAGCUCUUGGCUCUUGUGACAUUUCCUGUAGCCCUUAAGACACAGAAUAACGUGUAGAAACUGCCACAAAUAUCUAUUAUACAAACAAUACACUCACUCUGUUAUUUCCUCUCCACAAUACACUACAGUAAACAGACAUCCACAUAUGAAGACUUAGUAGACACUUCUCCCAUUUCCUUCCCCCAUCCUCACUAAUAAUGACAAAAUCUCAGGUCUGGUCCAUAUCCUAUCUGAGAGAGACAGAAACAUUUAGGCUUACACAGAGACACAUUUUGAAAUUCAGCCACUCUUCACUUUGUGAAUUUCUCCAAACCUCGAUAAACCAACCCAGUAAACCUGCCUCCUGGACUGUAGGGGCGGACCCUAGUUGGCUUUUGUCCCACCCUAGCUUCCUUCAUCUUCAUGACCUCCCCGCCCCAUUCCACUCAGUCCCUCCUUCUCUCUGCUCCGCCCCUGCCUGACUUCCUAAGUCCGGCAGCCCUCACUAGCUCAACUGCAGAAGAAACACGGAGCAUCAAACCUUGGACAGUGCUACCUGGAGAGGUUGAAGCCAGGUAAAAUCCCACCAGGCCAAGACCUUGGAGUUUAGAUGAAGCAGGAAACAAGUACGAGCCCUCCCUUGACGUCCUCUUAGGGAUUUAACCUUUCGGUAGCCCUGGAAUUCCUUUGGAGGAGCAAAUAUUUUGAUUCUGGGGAUUGACAUUCUCCUGGAGUUUGCUCUCCCAAACUCUUUUACCUGAGCCCUAAUUGAGUCAGGCAACUAGUUAGAUGCAGAGAUGGGGCUCUCUGUGAUCACACGUGGCCUAGACAGUGUGAAGGGCUGAGGGUGAGCAGCCACAGCUAAGCCGAUUUGCCUUAGGAGAAUGAAGGAGGGAUGGGGGUAGGGUUGUGAUAACCAUGGCCCUGGCUCUUGUCAAGGUCAUCAGUGCUUAGACAAGAGCAGAACCUGGAUGAAGGGGCAGAGCUGAGGAGUCUGGAAAUCAGGAAGGCAGGAUCCUGCUGGUAGUGUAGGACUGGGAGGCAGUAGUGUGGGACAUAUGGUAUGGGACUAGCAAGCAGGGUCCCUGGUGAAGAUUGAGUUGAAAAUCAAGGAUCCUAGAGAUAACUAGGCAGCUCUCGUCAGGAUAAGCUGGGUGCCCUGAAAAAUCUUAUCUUCCAGGUGGACCCCCACCCAAACUAUAUAUUGCUGUGAAGAGGUGUAUUAGGGAAGGACCAAGGCAGACCAGAAAGGACAAUAAGCCUGUUAUCCCCAAAAGCACUGUGAAGGAGGACUCGAGUGCAGUGACUCAGUUCAGUUUUUGAUCCUCAGGUGGACAUGAGAGGCAGUGUGGCUUGGGUCCUAGGUCUAGCCUGGGCUAUGAGUCUGCUGGGGACUCCAGGGACCUUAGGGCUAGCUGGACAUGAUGACGGUGCUGCCAGCCACAAAUGCCUAGGCACUGAACAAGUCAAUAAGGAGCCCAAGUUCAAUGGGGCACCAAGUUGGUGUGGACUCCAUUCUGCUGAUGUGAAUCCUUCCUACAAAGCCUCUCCCAUUUCCUCUACUGCUCAUUACUGGCAGGCAACUGGGCCCAUCCUGAGAAACAUGGAAGUGUCCAGGCCCUACCAAUCUGUGCUGCUUUCUGUGACCAGUGGUUUUCAGCCUGCAGAGAUGACCUGACCUGUGGCCGGAAUUGGCUCUUCCAACCAGGAGGAGGGAGUUGUGAGGGUGGCUGUCUCACCUUUGACCAGACCUUCCUGGAUGCCAGAGACCUGUGCAAUUCUGCUUUGGGAGACUACCUGGUUGCUGCACCUGCUCCCUGUCCCUUCCUUCAGCUCUCCAUCUCUGACUCAAAGCCUGGCCCAGAGACCCCAUUCAGCCCCGCCUGCCAAGGGGGGCCACUGCCUGGACCUCGAGGGCGCCGGGACCACCGGCUUAGACGCCGAGCACUGCUCCUCCCUCCAGUGGGCUUCGGCAGUGGCAGUGGCAGUGGCAGCGGUAACAGCCCCUAGAGGUUGCAGGAAGCUGGGAGAGAAAGGAAGGAUGAUUUAGUGUUGAGAGCUGGGAACCUUGACAAGCAUUCAGGACCUCAGUGGAGUCAACGAGAAGCUCCCUCUCAGCAGCCUUCCUUCCCUCAGCUCCAGCUACCUCCCACUGGCUUCCCCGUGCUGUGCCCCCAGAUUUUAUCCUCAGAUCCCGGCCUGAUCAGCUCAGGAGAGUGGGAUACAACACUGACUCCUUGAAUAAAAUGCACAGCUACAAAGUCCAA